rnacentral:lncRNA from 1 species
AAUAAGAGCAUACUUAUAUUCUUAGAAAUUCUGGUUGUUGCACUACAUCAAAGAUUUAUGUGAAAGUGCUAGAAUAUUGCGUUAAAAAAAUUGGAGUGACCAAACUCAUCAUCCCAUUAUAAAACAAAAUGCAAUGAUUAAACCUGUAACAAAAUUUAAAAGAGAGAUUUCCCACAGUUGUGCUGGUUAAUUGACUUGCACCCAAACAUAGCGAUCAUCACUAAGGCACCUUUGAUUAGAUGACCAGACCGCCAUUGCAAACAUGAGAAGCUAGAGAUGAUUAUACAAGAGAUACAGAAAAACACAUAUGACGGUUCACUAGUAUUUGAUUCUAAUUGUUAUAUUUCCAAUUGGUGGAUUCACCACUUAUUUAUAUGAAAUGAGAUCUCGAUAAUUUGAGAUAUGAUACCUCAAGAUAAUGAUCGACAAACCAUAGUAGUUACUCAAACUCAUUUGCAUAUCCUACUACAAAACCUUUAUAUCGGUAAAGGAAACCAUGACAGUACUAAAUCAGAAAGAGUUAAACUAAACAUGUGCUUAAAGAACCCACAUCCAUCCUGGCCGUGAAGAAUAACGAGUGGGGAAUCUCCCCUCUCCUCAAUUAGGAACAUCGAGCCAC